rnacentral:tRNA from 1 species
UGAAAAGAUGGCUCAGUGGUUAAGAGCACUGACUGUUCUUCCAGAGGUCCUGAGUUCAAUUCCCAGCAA